rnacentral:lncRNA from 1 species
CCUGGUUUAUUAGGAUUUUUGUUUCUUUCUACCGAAGUCGGGAUGUGCCACUAGAAAGUCCAUAUAGUCUGCUCAACUUCACAAUGUAGAAAAGUUGCAUCAUAUAGACAUCAAUUUAUUAGGUCAGUUUCAUCAGCCUCACAUCCGCGUGUGCAUUUCAGAUGAUAAAGGGAUGCUUCCACUGGGCACGAUGUAGACUCCUACUAAAGCCCGCGUCACAUGUCUCAUGCCUUGGCCUCGAUGGGUUAGGAUGGGAAUUGGCCGCCUUGACCAAUUAGAUAGUUGAUCCGACCCAUGGAAGCAUGAUCAAUGGGUCACAUGGGCUGAUCUUAUAAUAAAAAAUGGCUCGAUAGAGUCAGAACUUAUUAACUGAAUGAGUAAGAUUGGUCGAUAGAAGCAAAUAAGAUUAAUCGAUGUGGUUUUUGGUAAGGUCACGGUAAAUGUGACCAUUAACUGAGGC